rnacentral:rRNA from 1 species
AGAGUUUGAUCAUGGCUCAGAUUGAACGCUAGCGGGAUGCCUUACACAUGCAAGUCGAACGGCAGCGCGGACUUCGGUCUGGCGGCGAGUGGCGAACGGGUGAGUAAUGUAUCGGAACGUGCCCAGUAGCGGGGGACAACCACUCGAAAGAGUGGCUAAUACCGCAUACGCCCGUACGGGAAGGGGGGGAUCGCAAGACCUCUCACUAUUGGAGCGGCCGAUAUCGGAUUAGCUAGUUGGUGGGGUAAAGGCCUACCAAGGCGACGAUCCGUAGCUGGUUUGAGAGGACGACCAGCCACACUGGGACUGAGACACGGCCCAGACUCCUACGGGAGGCAGCAGUGGGGAAUUUUGGACAAUGGGGAAACCCUGAUCCAGCCAUUCCGCGUGUGCGAUGAAGGCCUUCGGGUUGUAAAGCACUUUUGGCAGGAAAGAAAUCGUGUGGGUUAAUACCCUGCGCGGAUGACGGUACCUGCAGAAUAAGCACCGGCUAACUACGUG